AGGCCCAAGCGACUGUUACCAAAAACAUAGGUUUCUGCUAAGUCGCAAGACGAUGUAUAGGAGCUGCCGCCUGCCCGGUGCUGGAAGGUUAAGGGGAUCUGUUCGGGCACUCGAAGCUGUGAGCGUAAGCUCCAGUAAACAGCGGCCGUAACGAUACCAGUCCUAUGGUAGCGAUAUUCCUUGUCGCAUAAGUUCCGACCCGCACGAAAGACGUAACGAUUUGGGCACUGUCACAAC
rnacentral:rRNA from 1 species